CGGCCGCGCCUUCCCAAAGGCCAAAGACAAGACUGAGAUCAUUUCCGUCUACGGCUGGCGCUAACGCCUUGACGCCCACUAAACUCUCACCACCCUCCUCCUCCUCCUCCUACCUCCUCCGUCAAUAUGAUCCCGCCGGAGCUUCAAUCCCGCUCAUUUCGCCCUUACAUCUCCGCCUCUACCAGCGCCCCUUCCUUCUCCUCCAUCACCAAUGGCACCACCUCCUACGACCAAAACCCUAGUCCCUUUCUCGAUCGUCGUGCUUCUUCUUCUUCCUCUUCUUCAGCUUCUUCUUCCUCCAGAUCCUUCAAGAAUUCCCGUUUCUCCCCUUCUUCUUUCAUCUACAACUCUCGUAUUGCCAUUGCUCUUGUCCCUUCUGCUGCCUUCCUUCUCGACCUCGGCGGUACUCCCGUUAUUGCUACUUUGACUCUUGGCCUUAUGAUUUCUUACAUCCUUGAUUCUCUCAAUUUCAAGCCUGGUGCGUUUUUUGGUGUUUGGUUUUCUCUUCUUUUUUCUCAGAUUGCUUUCUUCUUCAGUUCUUCUCUUAAUCUCACUUUUAAUUCCAUUCCUUUGACUAUCCUUGCUGCUUUCCUUUGCGCCGAGACUAAUUUCUUGAUUGGUGCAUGGGCUUCGCUUCAGUUUAAGUGGAUUCAGAUCGAAAACCCUUCUAUUGUUCUUGCUCUUGAGCGUCUUUUGUUUGCUUCUGUGCCAUUUGCUGCUUCGGCUAUGUUUACUUGGGCGACUAUUUCAGCUGUUGGUAUGGUUAAUGCUUCUUAUUAUCUUAUGGUAUUCAAUUGCGUCUUCUACUGGUUGUAUUCUAUUCCUCGUCUCUCGUCGUUCAAGAAUAAGCAAGAAGUGAAGUUUCAUGGUGGAGAGAUUCCUGAUGAUAAUUUGAUACUUGGUCCUUUGGAGAGCUGUAUUCAUACCUUGUAUCUUUUGUUCCUUCCUCUGGUUUUUCACAUUGCAUCUCAUCACUCGGUGGUGUUUUCUUCUGCUGCUUCCGUUUGUGAUUUGCUGCUUCUCUUUUUCAUUCCGUUUGUCUUUCAACUGUAUGCGUCGACGAGAGGUGCACUUUGGUGGGUCACUAAGAAUGCCAAUCAAGUACACAGUAUUCGGGUCGUCAAUGGUGCUGUUGCUUUAGUUGUAGUAGUUGUCUGUUUGGAAAUUAGAGUUGUUUUCCACUCCUUUGGGCGAUAUAUUCAGGUGCCACCGCCUUUUAAUUACCUACUUGUUACUAUAACGAUGCUCGGAGGGGCAGCUGGAGCUGGUGCUUAUGUUAUGGGUAUGAUCUCGGAUGCUUUUAGUACCGUGGUGUUCACUGCUUUGGCUGUGAUCGUCAGUGCUGCCGGAGCAAUUGUUGUGGGAUUUCCAGUAAUGUUUCUCCCACUACCAUCUGUGGCUGGUUUUUAUCUGGCUCGGUUCUUUACAAAGAAAAGCUUGCCAUCUUACUUUGCUUUUGUCGUGCUUGGGAGCUUGAUGACUAUGUGGUUUGUGAUGCAUAAUUACUGGGAUCUAAAUAUUUGGCUGGCUGGCAUGUCCCUCAAGUCUUUCUGCAAACUCAUUGUGGCUGAUGUGGUUCUUGCCUUGGCUGUUCCUGGUCUAGCUAUAUUACCCUCAAAAGUUCAGUUUUUGACAGAAGCCUGUUUGAUUGGCCAUGCAUUACUACUAUGUCAUAUUGAGAACCGCUUUCUAAGUUACUCCAGCAUAUAUUAUUAUGGCCUUGAGGAUGAUGUGGUUUAUCCAAGCUAUAUGGUUAUUAUGACUACAUUCAUUGGCUUGGUCCUGGUACGCAGAUUAUUUGUUGAUAACAGAAUCGGACCAAAGGCAGUCUGGGUUCUCACUUGUCUGUAUGCUUCAAAGCUGGCAAUGCUGUUUAUUGUUUCCAAAUCUGUUGUAUGGGUGUCAGCUAUUCUCUUACUGGCAGUUUCACCCCCAUUGCUCCUUUACAAAGAUAAAUCAAGAACAGCCUCCAAAAUGAAGGCAUGGCAAGGUUAUGCACAUGCUGGAGUCGUUGCUUUAGCAGUAUGGUUUUUCCGUGAAACAAUAUUUGAAGCCCUUCAAUGGUUUAACGGGAGACCACCAUCAGAUGGUUUGCUUUUAGGGUGCUGUAUUUUUAUGGCAGGGUUGGCUUGCAUACCAUUAGUUGCUCUCCACUUUCCUCAAGUCCUGUCAGCGAAGAGAUGCUUAGUACUAGUUGUGGCAACUGGUUUGCUAUUUAUCUUGAUGCAGCCACCAAUUCCCUUGUCUUGGACGUACCGUUCUGAUCUUAUUAAAGCUGCCCGUCAGUCCUCUGAUGAUAUUUCCAUCUAUGGUUUUGUUGCCUCAAAACCUACUUGGCCUUCUUGGCUGCUUAUGUUAGCAAUUCUGCUCACUCUUUCAGCCAUCACAUCCAUAAUACCCAUUAAAUAUUUUGCUGAGUUGAGAGUAUUGUACUCCAUAGCUAUGGGUAUUGCACUUGGCAUUUACAUAUCUGCUGAGUACUUCCUUCAGGCAGCUGUUCUGCAUAUCCUUAUUGUUGUCACCAUGGUUUGUGCUUCAGUGUUUGUGGUGUUCACUCAUUUUCCAUCUGCUUCAAGCACCAGGGUCUUACCUUGGGUGUUUGCGUUGCUUGUUGCACUAUUCCCUGUGACAUAUCUUCUGGAAGGGCAAGUAAGGUUAAACAGCAUUUUAGGAGACAGCGUUAGAAACAUGGGAGAGGAAGAGCAGAUGAUCACAACACUAUUAGCAGUUGAAGGAGCAAGGACAUCGCUGCUUGGCCUUUAUGCAGCCAUCUUCAUGCUAAUUGCAUUAGAAAUAAAAUUUGAACUUGCGUCUCUCGUGAGAGAGAAAACUUCUGAAAGGGGUGGAAUGAGGCACACAAAAUCUGGUGAAAGUAGCAUUGGUAGUCUUAACACAAGAACAAGAUUUAUGCAACAACGACGGGCUUCUUCCAUGUCAACAUUCACCAUGAAGCGAAUGACAGCUGAAGGAGCAUGGAUGCCAGCAGUUGGCAAUGUUGCUACAGUGAUGUGUUUCGCUAUAUGCUUAAUUUUGAAUGUCAAUCUCACAGGUGGUUCAAACUAUGCUAUAUUUUUUCUGGCUCCAAUCCUUCUGCUUUUGAACCAGGACUCUGAUUUUGUUGCUGGAUUUGGAGAUAAGCAAAGAUAUUUCCCUGUUACCAUAGUGAUAUCAGCAUACUUAGUCCUCACUGCAAUAUACAACAUAGGAGAAGAUGUUUGGCAUGGAAAUGCUGGAUGGGGUCUAGAUAUCGGUGGUCCAGAUUGGAUAUUUGCUGUUAAAAACUUAGCUCUUCUCGUUCUUACAUUCCCAAGUCAGAUCCUUUUCAACAGAUUUGUAUGGAGCUUUACGAAGCAUACGGACUCAACACCACUGCUAACAGUGCCCCUUAAUCUACCAUCUGCCAUCAUGACAGAUGUGCUUAAGGUUAGAAUAUUGGGGAUUUUAGGAAUUAUUUAUUCCUUCGCCCAAUAUAUAAUCUCCAGACAACAGUAUAUGUCGGGAUUAAAGUAUAUUUAGACAGAUUGUACUCUGUAGAUUAUGUGGUGCAAUUUUCGAACGAGCAGUGCAAUUAAGGAGGCUAGUGAUUUUUAAGAAUAUUCCCAAUUGUCUAACCUCCUUGACGCAUCAAUGGUAUCUCUCUUACAUUUAUCGGCCCAGCUACAUGUUUCAAUUUUGAUUGAGCAUGUUAUAUGAUAACAAUGUACUAGAAUCGGGCCGUGCGUAUUAUGUCGGGGAAUCUUGACAUGCAACGCCACUAGGUUCUCAAUUUAUCGCCUGGACUUCGGGUGAUUGGCUGAUCUUUAUCAUGGGACACUUAAUUUUGUUUCAUGUAUAACACAUACGGAUUCCAUCUGACUGCUUGUUUAUUUUCAUUUAGAAUCUGUUCAUUCAGCACACAUAGUUCAAUUCCCAAUUUUCUUUCUUCUGGAAGGUGACUUGCUUCCCUCAUGGUUAGUUCUUAGGACCAAACUCUACAUUUUUCAAGGAAUAGUGACCAAACUCUUGCAAUUUUUACCUUGCAAAUAAUAAUAAUUAGUUAUGUAAUUUGUA